AUAGAAAAAUGAUCUAUGAACCAGGUGGACUAAAUUAGGGAGAGAGAGGAGACAGGGAGGUGAGAAAGAAAGCCGAUACAAUAGUCAAAGCAUCAAGGCAUUUGUUUUUCUGUAGCUGAUUGGGUGCAUUUGAGUUUCUGUGUUUGGAUUUAUUUAGGUUUGCAAGUGUGUAUUUUCUGAAACUGCUUAGGGAUUUGUGUUUCUGUGGUUGUGUGGGUUUGUGAUUCUCUAGCUGUAUGUGCAUUUGCAUUUCUGUUCCUUGGUGGAUAUUUUGUUUCUGAAACUUUAUGUGUGUGUGUUUUUGUUUCUUUACAAAUUUGUAUAUUUGUUUAUAUGUUGGUUGUCUCUUUCCCUCCUCGUCCAUCUCUCCCAGUCAGGCUUUUUGCAUGACCUCUCUCUUCUAUCUGCAUGCCUGUGUUCAUCUGUUCUCUAAGUCUCUUUCAGUUUUCUUCCCCCUUACAUGGAUCAUUAGACCCAGAGACUGCCCCCAUCCCACUCUGAGGUCCCGAACACAUGUCCGGGGCUUUUGUGUAAGUUCAGCAUCCUCUUUCUCAUCUUCUUGGAGUCAAGAUUCUGAAUCUCAUGUAGACACCUGCCUCAAGGCUCUCCAAAAACCUCACAGCUUGCAUUUCCCUUGACUGAACCCUGAAAUGUGGAUAUGCACCGUCUUUUCCACGGAAUGGAGCCUCAACCUUUCAGUAACACAAGGCCUGAAUAGAAUUUUCAAGUGUUUCUCGAUUUCCCCAAGCAAUCAAAAAAUUCACACACACUCUAUGCCACGGGGAAGAGCAGAGACUUCAACUGAAUUGGAGCCACGAAGAAAGAAGAGCAGCUACUUCCCGGACAGGAAGUAGAGACAAUCAGAGCUCCUCCUUUCCCUCCUCAGAAACCUCCAGUUGUUCCUCAGUGCUCCUCACCUAAAAUAAGGAUUCCUAACCAUCAGCUUCAAAGCUCUGCACCACUUCUCUCCUUUUAACCAAUCUGCUCUAUCUGGCUGCACUUCAAUUUGCAAUCUUUGCUCUUCCCAAGCUACUAAAGCAGACUAUGGUUAUCUCUGAAAACUGUACCAAAGAAAAACAUCUGAAUCUUGGAAACGCCUGCAUUUAAGAAAGAAAACAGGAUGCACACUUCGAUGGAACAUUAAUACGGGAGUGGUGCCUGCUGCUUGGAGUCCCACUGAUAUUCUGUUCCGUGCACACGGAUUGUCUGGAAAGCCGUCUCCCAUCAAAUCCAGCAGACCUCAGCUCUCCCCACCUUCACAGUCCCUCUGAAAUCCUCUUCCAGCAGGUCCUCCCUGAUUAAUUUCUCAUCUCCCCAACCUACAUCCCACCAUCUGCCAUGUCAGCACAUCCACACCACACCGCACAUAUUGGAGACCGCAACAUCAGAGAGAUGAUAUGACUGGAGUCUUGGCUAUAACUCAUUCCGUGUCCUGAUUUCCUGGCCUGAACCAAAAUAUAUUUGUUGGUGCUCAUGGAUUGUGAAAGAGAGAAGUCAUCACCAUCUCACUUGCGGUCAGGCUGGGGUGACUGCUUUGCCUGGAACAUCAUCCCACAUCAGUGUUUCGUGGUUUACUUAUCACCUAGGAACAGCUGAUCAACACCCCCACACACUUCCUCAUCACCUGUUGCCACUGUCGAAGUGGUUCGGACUGCCACUGCAGAUCGCCCAUUGGCCUGGCUUGGGAUGGUGUUUCUUCUGGUCUUCGGUUCUGGGAUGCUGAGGAGCUCUGGAGAAGUUACAGGCCCCAAGUAUGGCCUAGUGGAUCAAGCAUGGACCUGGGAGUCAGAAGGACCUGGGUUCUCAUCUCAGCUCUUCCACUUGUCUGCUUUGUGUGACUUCUGGCAAAUCAUUUCACUUCUCUGGGCCUCAGUUCCCUCAUCUGUCAAGUGGGGUUUAAGACUAUGAGCCCCAUACGGGACAGGGACUUUGUGCAACCUGAUUUGCUUGAAUCGAUCCCAACAGUUAGUACAGUGCCUGGAAUACAGUAAACGCUUAUCACAAUGACACCAUUGUAAUUAUUAUUAUUACCAAAUAGAUGCAGGUGAUCUUGGGGUUAGUCUGUCUAGGAGAAAGGGAGCUCCUCACUGCAUCUUCAAUGGAAGGCAGCCUCUCUAGGCCAGAUUUCCUGAAAGCCCUGAGUGGUUUGUAGAGUUCUGUGACUUCUUUCAAUAGUAACUUCAAAUGUUUCUGUUGGAAAAGCAGCCUUUGAGACGUUCAAAAAAUUAUUAGUUUCUACUCCUAGACUAAAAAAAGAGAUUAUUGAUUUAAGUUCUUCUAGACUAAAUGGCAGGCUGGCUUUGAGUUUCAGUUUCUUGAAAUCCAGUGCACCUUUUGCUUAAUACUUGACCCACUAGGUAAAAAAGAUGAUUUCACCAUAAAUGUUUGCACUGGAUUUGGCUCUGGGUAGAGCAGUUCAUUCGAAGUUACUCUGGUGAUUCAGUAUUUCUUGUGGCAGCAUUUGGCCAUAGCUUUUCUCAGCCUGGCCUGGUGGCCCUACUCUUUAAGUUUAAGUUUAUUUAAGUUUGGAAUUUUGUUUUGUUUUGUCAUCUGU